GACGAACGCUGGCGGCGUGCUUAACACAUGCAAGUCGAACGGAAAGGCCCUGCUUUUGUGGGGUGCUCGAGUGGCGAACGGGUGAGUAACACGUGAGUAACCUGCCCUUGACUUUGGGAUAACUUCAGGAAACUGGGGCUAAUACCGGAUAGGAGCUCCUGCUGCAUGGUGGGGGUUGGAAAGUUUCGGCGGUUGGGGAUGGACUCGCGGCUUAUCAGCUUGUUGGUGGGGUAGUGGCUUACCAAGGCUUUGACGGGUAGCCGGCCUGAGAGGGUGACCGGCAACAUGGGGACUGAGAUACGGCCAGACUCCUACGGGAGGCAGCAGUGGGGAAUAUUGCACAAUGGGCGGAAGCCUGAUGCAGCAACGCCGCGUGCGGGAUGACGGCCUUCGGGUUGUAAACCGCUUUCGCCUGUGACGAAGCGUGAGUGACGGUAAUGGGUAAAGAAGCACCGGCUAACUACGUG
rnacentral:rRNA from 1 species